ACCAGGAUGGCCGAGUGGUUAAGGCAUUAGACUUAAGAUCCAAUGGGCGUAUGCCCGCGUGGGUUCAAACCCCACUCCUGGUA